rnacentral:rRNA from 1 species
ACUCCUACGGGAGGCAGCAGUGGGAAUAUUGGACAAUGGGGCAACCGUAGCAUCCAGCCAUGCCGCAUGCUGUGAGAAGGAGCCUUUUGGUUGUAAAGCACUUUAAGCAGGGAGGAGAGGCUAAUGGUUAAUACCCAUUAGAUUAGACGUUACCUGCAGAAUAAGCACCGGCUAACUCUGUGCCAGCAGCCGCGGUAAUACAGAGGGUGCGAGCGUUAAUCGGAAUUACUGGGCGUAAAGCGAGUGUAGGUGGCUCAUUAAGUCACAUGUGAAAUCCC